AGGGUGUAAACGCUGCGGGCUUGGUGUUGGGGGUCCUUUGAGGGCGCCCAGUGCCGGAGAGAAGUUGUUAAGCCUGCUGCUUGGGGAGUACGUCCGCAAGGAUGAAACUUAAAGGAAUUGGCGGGGGAGCACAACAACGGGUGGAGCUUGUGGUUUAAUUGGAUUCAACGCCGGAAAUCUUACCGGGACCGACAGCAACAUGAAGGCCAAGCUGAAGACUUUGCCGGAUUAGCUGAGAGGUGGUGCAUGGCGUAGUCGUGU
rnacentral:rRNA from 1 species